rnacentral:rRNA from 1 species
AGCCUACGGGGCGCAGCAGUGGGGAAUAUUGGGCAAUGGGCGCAAGCCUGACCCAGCAACGCCGCGUGAAGGAAGAAGGCUUUCGGGUAGUAAACUUUUUUUAAGGGGGACGAACAAAUGACGGUACCCCUUGAAUAAGCCACGGCUAACUACGUGCCAGCAGCCGCGGUAAUACGUAGGUGGCAAGCGUUAUCCGGAUUUAUUGGGUGUAAAGGGCGUGUAGGCGGGAGCGAAAGUAAGAUGUGAAAACUACGGGCUCAACCCUGAGGCUGCAUUUGCAACUGUGUUACUUGAGUGCUGUAGAG